GACGUAGGGCGCGAGCGUUGUCCGGAUUUAUUGGGCGUAAAGAGCUCGUAGGCGGCUCAUUGCGUUAACCGUGAAAACCAGCAGCUCAACUGUUGGCUUGCGGUUGAUACGGGUGGGCUGGAGUUCGGUAGGGGAGACUGGAAUUCCUGGUGUAGCGGUGAAAUGCGCAGAUAUCAGGAGGAACACCGGUGGCGAAGGCGGGUCUCUGGGCCGAUACUGACGCUGAGGAGCGAAAGCGUGGGGAGCGAACAGG
rnacentral:rRNA from 1 species